rnacentral:rRNA from 1 species
UACGUAGGGUGCGAGCGUUAAUCGGAAUUACUGGGCGUAAAGCGUGCGCAGGCGGGCUUUUAAGCCAGACGUGAAAUCCCCCGGGCUUAACCUGGGAAUGGCGUUUGGGACUGGAAGUCUGGAGUGCGGCAGAGGAGACUGGAAUUCCUGGUGUAGCAGUGAAAUGCGUAGAUAUCAGGAGGAACACCGAUGGCGAAGGCAGGUCUCUGGGCUGACACUGACGCUCAUGCACGAAAGCGUGGGGAGCGAACAGG